AGAUUCUAUGUUUUUAUGUGUUUUAUUCUUUGUUUUAUUAUCUUUUAAUAUUCAAGCAUAUUGUAAAGUGUUUAUAUAUUUCACAGAAUUUGCUGUACUUCCCCAUGUCACAAGAUUCGAUGUAUUGCUCCAUUGUCAUGCAACCCGACAGUGAACUCUGCAAUACAAAUAGUUUAAGCGGGAAACAGAUGCGGGUCACCCAGACUACAAUAGAAAACGGAUGAGGCACCUAAACCACAACAGGAAAACAGAUGCGUGACUCCCUAACCACAAAAGAUUAAGUCAGCGCCACGUCUUUUAGAAAGAAGCAGACACACACACACAUAUACAACUGUUGGUUUAAAGGAAUUUGUAAAAGAGGAAAUGUGACGUAUUUGCAUACACGAUGUAAACUAUAAAUAAAGAGCCAUCGCCUGCACUCGGUGUGGGUCUCGCCAGAGUCCUCACCCGUGCGUGAGUCUCGUCAGAGUGCUCACCCGUGCACGUUAAUGUUAUUACAUUCUAACUGUUUGAGUGUCUUUAUUCAGCCUGAAGAAUGUCUUAUUAAAAAUAAACUCUUGACAUUUAAUUGGUCCUUCGAGCCCGGAUUUUGGACAUCGAAUUAUGCUCCAACAGAGUGACCUCGUCGCUUCCUGACAUCGUGGAGAGCCCGCGCUGAAGUCUGUCGACAGCCUCUUUCCUAUGAAAGAGAAAAGACCAACUAUGUGAAUUCGGGUUGGCCAGCGUUCUUAGUAAGAGGUCCACGAUCCUGGGGAACGAGGAGGAAUCUCUGACCGGCACUUAUAUCAUCAUAACCAGUCUCUUCCAGGUUGAAACCAGGCGACUGGAUCCUGAUCAAGGUACUCCAGAGGAAAAACUGGAGCUCUCCGAGGUGGGAGGGCCCUUUUCAGGUCCUGCUAACGACGCCAACAGCGUGCAAGAUCGCUGAAAGACCUUCGUGGAUCCACCAGAGCCACACCAAAAAAGUACAAGGGGACACAAGCCCAGACGCCAGUUCACCUGUCAUCUAGUGAUCUGUAAGUAAAGGAGAGGGCAGAUCGGGUAUACCCCGCCCUCUUAACUUUUCGCUUUCAGUCGACACACUAGGUGAUCUGGUGAACUUGGUCGACCUGAAGAAACCCCAUUGUAGCCCGAGCACCGACCUAGCCCCACCUGCCCGGUAGAGUAACAGGAGAUCAGUCCGACCUGCAAAACCAGAAGAGCAACCCAUCACUCAAGUAACUACUCAGACACUUAUAAACAAUGCCCGACACAGAUGUGCAAAAUGAACAUUCAGACAUUUCAGAUGGAGAGGACCCAGUCCCCAACAGGACUCGACGACGAUGCUGGUCAGAGGAAUGCCAACUAAUGCAUAAUUAUGUACCCCAUAACAAAAUUGAAAUGGCAUUCCUUGUAAACCUACUACAAACUCUAGAAACAGUAAUGAAUACAAGUCUGCGUGCAUGUGCUCCAAAAGAACCAAUAAAGAACUUAACAACACUUCCGGUCACACCGCCCGAACUAGCCCAUAACAUGACCAUGGUCUGCCUAUGGAGACUUAGAGUCCCAGAAAAGCAGGGUGUAUCUUUUGUUUAUCCAAAUAAGACACUGCAACCGGAAUCUUCCUGGCACAAGCUUAUAGCCCGAUAGCAACUGAAGAAGAAGAAGACUGUGUGUAAGAAUUUCUUGUACUUAACAUGACGUAGCAAUUGAAAAUGUGCAAACAAGUGAUUGUCUACUGAAGCCUAUGAAGUACGAGUGAAAUAUAUUAACAACAGGAGGGAAUGUUAUGAGAUUCUAUGUUUUUAUGUGUUUUAUUCUUUGUUUUAUUAUCUUUUAAUAUUCAAGCAUAUUGUAAAGUGUUUAUAUAUUUCACAGAAUUUGCUGUACUUCCCCAUGUCACAAGAUUCGAUGUAUUGCUCCAUUGUCAUGCAACCCGACAGUGAACUCUGCAAUACAAAUAGUUUAAGCGGGAAACAGAUGCGGGUCACCCAGACUACAAUAGAAAACGGAUGAGGCACCUAAACCACAACAGGAAAACAGAUGCGUGACUCCCUAACCACAAAAGAUUAAGUCAGCGCCACGUCUUUUAGAAAGAAGCAGACACACACACACAUAUACAACUGUUGGUUUAAAGGAAUUUGUAAAAGAGGAAAUGUGACGUAUUUGCAUACACGAUGUAAACUAUAAAUAAAGAGCCAUCGCCUGCACUCGGUGUGGGUCUCGCCAGAGUCCUCACCCGUGCGUGAGUCUCGUCAGAGUGCUCACCCGUGCACGUUAAUGUUAUUACAUUCUAACUGUUUGAGUGUCUUUAUUCAGCCUGAAGAAUGUCUUAUUAAAAAUAAACUCUUGACAACAGGAUAAAAGGAGAAAACAUAAAAUUGGUCACAUAAGCAUUUUAAUAAAUAUUAAAUUCCAAGCACCAUACAGCAUACGUUCACAACAAAAAUAAUGGCACAAUGUACAGACCAUCAUCAUCACCAUAAGCACUUUGCAAAUCAAAGGGCUUGUAUAUUUCAAUACAGUCUGCUUUAACAACAUCUUUUUCAUCCGUUUCAAACACUUUAUAAGCAUGGCAAUGUUCACUGAAAUUUUCAACCACAAGCUUCUGAACUAUGAAGUAGGUGUGACUAUUGACCAAAACUAUUGUUUUUAUUCUGCAAAACACCGGCAUCUCAUGUUCAGAACCACAACAAAUGACCAAUCCUGUUCUGUACUCAGUCCCAUUAAUGUUAACCCAAUUAGCAGAGAAAGCCUCUUCUGCAACAGCAGGCAAGCCUAGGGAGAUCAUUUCACUAUUUUCCUCACUAUCAACAUCAAAUGAUUUCAAGGGCCCAUACUCAACAUGGCUUAAAGGACAUGUCUCCCACUUGUAUGCUAUGGAUGUUUGAUGUUUUUUGGCAAGUGACACUGUGAUGUUCUUAAAGUUCUUAAGGGUGUCUUUGAACACCCUAUGUUUAGCCUCACCUCUCAUGCUCCAUACAUGCAAUAAUGGCCCAAUUUUUCUGAUGCAAGUUGGGUAGUGCAACAUAAAGUGGUGUUUGGGAAUCAUGUUCCUACCUGGAUACAACAAUUUGAACAAGUCAUGAUGUUCCAUUGUUAAAUGUUUUAGAAGCACAGUCAUGCCAUGUGUAACAGAUGGAGAGAAUAUGAUGUUAAUUAUUUGCAACAAUAGCAAUAGCAUAGUCCAGUUCUGAUUUCCUUCUGGCACAAUAUCACCAAAAAUUAAAGGAAUGUUUCUUAUCAGACAAAGAGUCUGAAUGGAGUUAAGACCUAUACUAUUACCACUACUGUCUAAGUUCACCCUUG
ensembl:lncRNA